rnacentral:rRNA from 1 species
UACCAGACUCCUACGGGAGGCAGCAGUGGGGAAUAUUGCACAAUGGGGGAAACCCUGAUGCAGCGACGCCGCGUGAGUGAAGAAGUAUUUCGGUAUGUAAAGCUCUAUCAGCAGGGAAGAAAAUGACGGUACCUGACUAAGAAGCCCCGGCUAACUACGUGCCAGCAGCCGCGGUAAUACGUAGGGGGCAAGCGUUAUCCGGAUUUACUGGGUGUAAAGGGAGCGUAGGUGGCAUGGUAAGCCAGAAGUGAAAACCCGGGGCUCAACCCCGCGGAUUGCUUUUGGAACUAUCAGGCUGGAGUGCUGGAGGGGUAAGCGGAAUUCCUAGUGUAGCGGUGAAAUGCGUAGAUAUCAGGAGGAACACCGGUGGCGAAGGCGGCCUGCUGGACUGCAACUGACGUUGAGGCCCGAAAGCGUGGGGAGCAAACAGGAUUAGAUACCCCCGUA